CACACACCGCCCGUCGCUUCAUGAAGUUGGUUUUAGGCGAGGUGGUGCGAUAUUGGCAUUAUCGAACCUGAGAUCAGCAACGAGGGAG
rnacentral:rRNA from 1 species